rnacentral:lncRNA from 1 species
UUCAGGGCAAUGAGCAUGGUGCCGUUCUGAUACUAAAUGAGCCAUCCCACAAUUUAGCAGAUUCAUAAGGAAUUCUCACGGGAGAGGAUCUGAGAGCGGUGGGAUGAUGAGCACUGAAGGGCGCUGGGAGAGGCGCUCGCUCACGCAGCCUCAGCAGAUGGUUUGUUCUCUGAGGCAACUUCUUCUGGAGGAAAUUUCACAAGCUGGUUUUGUUCUUUGCCCCACAAACUACAGUUAUAUGCUACCGUCAAGUCUAAGGGUUUCUAGCCCUGAAGGGUCCACUAAAAUUUUGCAAGAAGACUUUUGAAGAGAGGCUUGAGCAUGUGCUGAGUUUCCUGCACUGAGGCUUCCAUCGAAAAUACACAGGGAUGGACUCAAUGUUUGCUGCAGCUUCCUGGGUAUGAGAACGUGUUUGCAUUUUACAUUUGAACUAAAUUCAAGAAAAACAACGUGGCUGUGCAAAAAGGUUUGCCUUUUGUCUUGCUGCUUCUGUGAAAGCUGCCUGGGCUUUCCAUUAGGAGUGAACAGCUUUUAUGAUUUCAUUAUCUCACAUCGGACAAAAUAUUUGAGAACUUUGUGCUUUUAAUAGCUUUGGUAUUCCUACCAUCUCUGACAAUUGCAAUCCGUGUAACCAUUAAGUUUAUUUUUACAUCUAUAAAUAUUUAUUUAUAUAUACCUGUACAUAUAUGUGCAUAUAUCCCUUCAUUUUCACAGCUGGACAGAUAUAGUAUCAGUCAUCAUGAAAGUAUGCUCCUGCAACACUCUGCUCCUGUUUAAUAACCUCUCAAGAUUGAUUUACUCACAUCAGCAUUUUCAAAAACCACGUCAAAAAGUCUCCUUGCAAACUCAUGUAUUGCUUAAAAU